UUAGUCAUGUUUUUGUAUGAUGUAUUUAGCGAUAUCAUUACGAGUCUAGACAUUUAAACAUUCAGAUGAGAAAUAAGUACGUUUAUCUAAAGUAAAAUAGUUAUUAUAAAAAACGUUAGUGAAGGAAAGGAGAUCGAUAAAGAGAGAUCAGCAUCAUGAAGGAGCACAAGACUUUGUUGGUCAUGAUUUCGGUACUCAGUUGGUGUGCUGUGCAUUGUAUAGAAGAAAAACUGUUGUACUCAACUUAUGGCUAUGUCAAAGAGAUAGAUUUGAAAAGUGGAGAAGUUAAAGUACUUCUUAAUGUAGCAGGAAACUAUGUUUUUUCGUUAGCCUACGAUUAUGACGAAAGAUAUCUGUAUAUUCCAAGAAGGAACGGAGAUAUUAUAAAAUUUCCUUAUCCAAAUAAUCAAACUGUUCAGUUUGAAACUGUUGUUUCUGCAAACGGUCCAUUGGGUAUAGCAUUUGACUCAGUGAACCACCAUCUAUAUUGGACAGAAGAUGGAAAAGGAAAGAUAAUGAGAUGUAAUGCAGAUGGAACUAAUAAAACAACUAUUUUUGACGAAACAGAACCUGGUGUACUUUCAAUUGAUAUAGAAAAUAGGAUCAAUAUAACGGAAAGAUAUACAGAAUAACAUUUGACGGAAAAGAAAGACGAGUUAUAUAUAACCAGUCUUUACUGACGUAUGGAAUACAAGUAGACGUUAUCGAUAAGCGACUUUAUUGGAAUGAAUAUUCGACUGGCGACUUGAAAUCUGCUUGGUAUAAUGGAUCGGAUGUCCAAACCGUAGUAAGCACCAAUUUGCGUAACAAUUGGGGCCUUGAUACCAAUGAUGAUUUUAUCUUCUAUUCAAGCUCGGUUUCAAUUGUUAAGAUUGCCAAAUCUGUAGGGCACACUCUGACUGUUGUUCACAGAGAUACAGCACAGAUUUAUGGUGUUUUGUUCUAUAAGCACCAAGGUAAGAAUACAUGUCUGACCGAAUUGUUUUAAAAUUUAUCAUUUCAUUGAAAAACAAUAUUACGCUGAAAGAAUAUAUGCAUUAGUUGAUAUCUCUUACAUAUUAUAAUGAAUUUCUACAAAUCAUAAUAUGUUUUUUUUUAUACUUUAGCAGCUAAACGAUUCAUUCUAAAUUAAAGAAUACGUAAAUAGUAUAGUUGCAAUCGUUUUUGUUUGAUGCUUUUUAAUGUAUGUUAAUAUUUGCAUGAAAGUGAACACCUUAUAAUGAUCUAAAGCCAGUAAACAAGUGUGACAAUGUUCUGAAGUUUUGUAUCCUAUAUUUUUUAAAACAUUGUAGUGUGUGUUAUAUCUAUUCGAUUUUAAGAUGAUUAUGUUAUGCUGGUUCCACGUGUUUUAAUAACUAACGCUUUGAAGCUUUUAUUUGUUUUAAAACAAAUGCUUUCCUAAUUGCAGAUACUUGCUAAUAUACGUUCAACUGUUUUGGUUUUCAUAGAUUGUGACAAUGUAUAUUUCACCAAAUGUUAUUUUUAUGUUGUUAAGAAUAUUUAAAGCCACAUCAUAAUGAGUUUAAAAAGCUUGUUUGUUGUCAAAACAUUGUAAUGCUAUUAACAUUGAACUUUUGAUAACAAUAUUUAUGAAAUCAUAUAUUGAAUUACCCCUUCUAGAAUUGUGUUUGAUGUGAAACGCUGUCAUAAAACUUAUGUUAUGGCGAGAUUCACUAAGUUUGAAAAAAUGGACUUCGUUAUAUUGUGAACAUGUGUUUUAUUAAAAUCUGAACAACACACUGAAAAUAGCGGUGUACAUUUUACAUUGUUUUUAUUGCGUUUUGUAUAUUUUAGGGAAAGACUUUGACGAAAACGAACGAAUGUCUUAUACUUAUAUAGAACGAGUACAAACAAGAAUAAUGGAUUUAUACUGUAAAAUGGGUUGUUUUGGUUGUAUUCUUUACUUGUUCAAAUUAUUAUAUGUCAUUGAUACUUUUGAUAUGCAAAUUAUUAUUUACAAUUACGAUAACUUUUUUGUUUGCAAAUAGCCAUACUGGCAUACACGACACAUUGUUUUUGUUGUUAAUACAAGGCAUCUCCGAGUAAAUAAAAGCAAUGUGUUUAAAAUUAAUUAGUAAAAACAAUACAUUAUACUUUUAUUGAUAAAUGUAGAGUUUGUGUAAUGAUAAGACAUAUGUUUUAAUGUACCCGUAAGAGUUUUCUUCUUUUGAGAAUUAUAUAUUUUCAUUAUAUCUAUUUUAAGUUAAUUUACAUUAUUUUUUUUUUGUAGAAUUCUGAUUGGUUUGAGCAUGAUUUAAAACCAGAAAAUCAAACAGGCUACAAAUGAUUUUAUAUAUGCACUUAAUACAAUAAAACGAAAGUAAAUAAUAAUGUGCUGUGCUGAAUAUUCAUAUACAAUAUUAGCCAUUUGAUGAAAAGCGAACUUCAAUAACUAAACAAAAGUUGAGGUUGUUAUGUAGUUUCGUUUGGAAUGAAAAUCAUCUCUAAUAAUGUAGACAAAUUUGUCACACCAUAGUGUCAACAUAAUGAUGCAAGCUAUUGAUCUUGGAAUUUAAUAAACAUUACCUUACCAAGAACUAGGCUGUAUCUACAUUGGUACAACUACACAGAUUUAUUAUAAUUUUGAAAGAUAAGAAAUAUUAUAGACAUGACAUAAUGGUAACAGAGAUCUGAUAGAGCAAUCCCUAGUCCGGUACUCUACUCUUCAACCUUAUUUCUCACAAAUGAACAAACCUUAAUUAAAUAUUUAUCUGAAAUGUCUUUAAAACGUCCUAUAGUACACAUUUCCUGAUAACUAUCAACUAUUUUAUCUCACAUUAAUUUCAAGAUAUAUAUCAUUUCAUACAUGUAUUUCAAGUUAAAUUUGUGAAUAUCUUGUAAACAUUGAAUAUAAACAUAUAAAUUAUGUUGUUUAAAAAUAUAUUCUAGAUGACGAAUUCUUCAUUUUUGCUGUUUUUUCAUGUUGUUCUUUAAAAAUGGAUUUGUUUUCAUUGCAUUAGUAAAUGACUCAUUCGGCAGGCUUCUCAAUUGCGAGUUAUUACAAGGAAUCGUUACGUUUUUAGUUCAGAAGCAGACACAUGGCUUAACUAUUAGUGUUGUACUAACAAGAAAACAGUCUUAAGAUUAUAAAAAAAAAAAUUCGGGUCUCAUCUUUUUUUGAAUAGAUACGAAAUGUUAUUCAAAGAUAUUUUUAUCGGAAAGAUUAAUCAUCAAACAAUGUAAUUUUACAUAUAUGCAACGUUUGUUUUGUAUGCUACUAUAUAUACCCAGUUCAUAUAUUAGUCUCAAACUUAUUCAAAGGCAAUGAUGGUAAAUAAAU